GAUGAACGCUGGCGGCGUGCCUAAUACAUGCAAGUUGUGCGGUAACAGAGAGAGCUUGCUCUCUGCUGACGAGCGGCGGACGGCAGAGUAACGCGUAGGAACAUACCCCAAACUGAGGGGAUAACUGCUCGAAAGAGUAGCUAAUACCGCAUGUGGUCUUCGGAUUAAAGCUUCGGCGGUUUGGGAGUGGCCUGCGUCCGAUUAGCUAGUUGGUGAGGUAAUUGCUCACCAAGGCGACGAUCGGUAGCUGGUCUGAGAGGAUGAUCAGCCUGACUGGAACUGAGAACGGUCCAGACUCCUACGGGAGGCAGCAGUAGGGAAUUUUCCACAAUGGGCGAAAGCCUGAUGGAGCAACGCGCGUGCAGGAUGAAUGCCUUCGGGUUGUAAACUGUCUUUCUGUGUGAGAAUAUGACGGUAACACAGG
rnacentral:rRNA from 1 species